ACGCUGGCGGCGUGCCUAAUACAUGCAAGUCGAGCGAGCGGAACUAACAGAUUUACUUCGGUAAUGACGUUAGGAAAGCGAGCGGCGGAUGGGUGAGUAACACGUGGGGAACCUGCCCCAUAGUCUGGGAUACCACUUGGAAACAGGUGCUAAUACCGGAUAAGAAAGCAGAUCGCAUGAUCAGCUUUUAAAAGGCGGCGUAAGCUGUCGCUAUGGGAUGGCCCCGCGGUGCAUUAGCUAGUUGGUAAGGUAAAGGCUUACCAAGGCGAUGAUGCAUAGCCGAGUUGAGAGACUGACCGGCCACAUUGGGACUGAGACACGGCCCAAACUCCUACGGGAGGCAGCAGUAGGGAAUCUUCCACAAUGGACGCAAGUCUGAUGGAGCAACGCCGCGUGAGUGAAGAAGGUUUUCGGAUCGUAAAGCUCUGUUGUUGGUGAAGAAGGAUAGAGGUAGUAACUGGCCUUUAUUUGACGGUAAUCAACCAGAAAGUCACGGCUAACUACGUGCCAGCAGCCGCGGUAAUACGUAGGUGGCAAGCGUUGUCCGGAUUUAUUGGGCGUAAAGCGAGCGCAGGCGGAAGAAUAAGUCUGAUGUGAAAGCCCUCGGCUUAACCGAGGAACUGCAUCGGAAACUGUUUUUCUUGAGUGCAGAAGAGGAGAGUGGAACUCCAUGUGUAGCGGUGGAAUGCGUAGAUAUAUGGAAGAACACCAGUGGCGAAGGCGGCUCUCUGGUCUGCAACUGACGCUGAGGCUCGAAAGCAUGGGUAGCGAACAGGAUUAGAUACCCUGGUAGUCCAUGCCGUAAACGAUGAGUGCUAAGUGUUGGGAGGUUUCCGCCUCUCAGUGCUGCAGCUAACGCAUUAAGCACUCCGCCUGGGGAGUACGACCGCAAGGUUGAAACCCAAAGGAAUUGACGGGGGCCCGCACAAGCGGUGGAGCAUGUGGUUUAAUUCGAAGCAACGCGAAGAACCUUACCAGGUCUUGACAUCUAGUGCCAUUUGUAGAGAUACAAAGUUCCCUUCGGGGACGCUAAGACAGGUGGUGCAUGGCUGUCGUCAGCUCGUGUCGUGAGAUGUUGGGUUAAGUCCCGCAACGAGCGCAACCCUUGUUAUUAGUUGCCAGCAUUAAGUUGGGCACUCUAAUGAGACUGCCGGUGACAAACCGGAGGAAGGUGGGGAUGACGUCAAGUCAUCAUGCCCCUUAUGACCUGGGCUACACACGUGCUACAAUGGGCAGUACAACGAGAAGCGAGCCUGCGAAGGCAAGCGAAUCUCUGAAAGCUGUUUUCAGUUCGGACUGCAGUCUGCAACUCGACUGCACGAAGCUGGAAUCGCUAGUAAUCGCGGAUCAGCACGCCGCGGUGAAUACGUUCCCGGGCCU
rnacentral:rRNA from 1 species